rnacentral:tRNA from 1 species
GGUUAUGGCUCAGCGGUAGAGCACUUGCCUUGCAAGUGCGGGACUCUGGGUUUGAUCCUCAGCACCA